UCCCCAUGCUUCAGUAGCUGAGUCGGUAAAGCACGAGACUCUUAAUCUCAGGUCCGUGGGUUCGAGACCCACGUUGGGGAA